rnacentral:rRNA from 1 species
GGGUGCAAUCAUACCAGCACUAAUAAACCGGAUCCCAUCAGAACUCCAAAAUUACGCGUGCUUGGGCGAGAGUAUUACUAGGAUGGGUGACUUUUUGGUAAAUCCUCGUGUUGCACCCC